rnacentral:rRNA from 1 species
GACGAACGCUGGCGGCGUGCUUAACACAUGCAAGUCGAACGCUGAAGCUCAGCUUUUGUUGGGUGGAUGAGUGGCGAACGGGUGAGUAACACGUGAGUAACCUGCCUCCUUCUUUGGGAUAACGCCCGGAAACGGGUGCUAAUACUGGAUAUUCACUGGUCUUCGCAUGGGGGUUGGUGGAAAGGGUUUUUCUGGUGGGGGAUGGGCUCGCGGCCUAUCAGCUUGUUGGUGGGGUGAUGGCCUACCAAGGCUUUGACGGGUAGCCGGCCUGAGAGGGUGAACGGUCAAAUUGGGACGGAGAUACGGCCCAGACUCCUACGGGAGGCAGCAGUGGGGAAUAUUGCACAAUGGGCGCAAGCCUGAUGCAGCGACGCCGCGUGAGGGAUGGAGGCCUUCGGGUUGUGAACCUCUUUCGCUCAUGGUCAAGCCGCAACAAUGGUUGUGGUGAGGGUAGUGGGUAAAGAAGCGCCGGCUAACUACGUG